CAUAUCAAUAAGCGGAGGAAAAGAAACCAACAGGGAUUGCCUCAGUAACGGCGAGUGAAGCGGCAAAAGCUCAAAUUUGAAAUCUAGCACCUUCGGUGUUCGAGUUGUAAUUUGAAGAUGGUAACCUUGGGUUUGGCUCUUGUCUAUGUUCCUUGGAACAGGACGUCAUAGAGGGUGAGAAUCCCGUCUGAUGAGAUGCCCAUUCCUAUGUAAGGUGCUAUCGAAGAGUCGAGUUGUUUGGGAAUGCAGCUCUAAGUGGGUGGUAAAUUCCAUCUAAAGCUAAAUAUUGGCGAGAGACCGAUAGCGAACAAGUACAGUGAUGGAAAGAUGAAAAGAACUUUGAAAAGAGAGUGAAAAAGUACGUGAAAUUGUUGAAAGGGAAGGGCAUUAGAUCAGACUUGGUGUUUUACGAUUAUCUUCUCUUCUUGAGUUGUGCACUCGUAUUUCACUGGGCCAGCAUCGAUUCGGAUGGCAAGAUAAUGGCAGUUGAAUGUGGCUUCACUUCGGUGGAGUGUUAUAGCUUCUGCUGAUAUUGCCUGUCUGGAUCGAGG
rnacentral:rRNA from 1 species